AACGCAACUUGCGCCCUUUGGUAUUCCGAAGGGCAUGCCUGUUUGAGUGUCAUGAAAUAUCAAUCCCCGAGGUUUCUCGUCGAUUGGACUUGGGUGUUGCCGUCUGGCUCGCCUCAAAUGCGUUAGUAGACUACAUUGUGAAGUUUGGCGUAAUAAGUUUCGUCAGGCCAGCUGUGGCGUCCGCUCAUAACAACCAUCUACUGUCUUCAUGACUUUAUCUCUGACCUCAAAUCAGGUAGGACUACCCGCUGAACUUAA
rnacentral:misc_RNA from 1 species